UACGGAGGAUGCAAGCGUUAUCCGGAUUCAUUGGGUUUAAAGGGUGCGUAGGCGGAAUAUUAAGUCAGUGGUGAAAGCCUGCAGCUUAACUGCAGAACUGCCAUUGAUACUGAUAGUCUUGAGUUUGGUUAAGGUAGGCGGAAUGUGUAAUGUAGCGGUGAAAUGCUUAGAUAUUACACAGAACACCAAUUGCGUAGGCAGCUUACUGAGCCGACACUGACGCUGAGGCACGAAAGCGUGGGGAGCAAACA
rnacentral:rRNA from 1 species